AUGCACAACUACUAUACUACCACAGCACAGGAAGAAGGCUGGCUCUUCAAAUGGACCCAUGAUAUCAAAGGCUACCAGCGGCGGUGGUUCGCGCUGAGCAACGGACUCCUGAGCUACUACAGGUCAAAGGCAGAAAUGAGACAUACCUGCCGUAGUACCAUCAACCUUCCCACAGCCAACAUCACCGUGGAGGACUCCUGCAACUUCAUCAUUUCCAAUGGGGGUGCUCAGACCUACCAUCUGAAGGCUAGUUCGGAAGUGGAGCGCCAACGCUGGGUGACAGCCCUGGAACUAGCCAAGGCCAAAGCUGUGAAGAUGCUGGCAGAAUCAGAUGAGUCAGGAGAUGAAGGGUCUGUCUCACAAACUGACAAGACCGAGCUCCAGAAUACCCUUCGGACCCUCUCCAGCAAAGUAGAGGACUUGAGCACCUGCAAUGACUUGAUAGCUAAGCACGGCAUAGCUCUGCAGCGUUCCCUCAGUGAGCUGGAGUCCCUGAAGUUGCCUGCUGAGAGUAACGAAAAGAUCAAACAGGUCAACGAACGAGCCACACUCUUUAGGAUAACAUCCAAUGCCAUGAUCAAUGCCUGCAGAGAUUUUCUCAUGUUAGCCCAGACCCAUAGUAAAAAAUGGCGAAAAUCACUACAGUAUGAGAAAGACCAGCGUAUCCGACUGGAAGAGACCCUCGAGCAGCUGGCAAAGCAGCAUAAUCACCUGGAGAGGGCCUUCAGAGGAGCCACAGUGCUGCCAGCAAACACUCCUGGCAGUGCAGGUUCUGAUAAAGAUCAGUGCUACUCUGGCAAAGGGGACAUGAGUGAUGAGGAUGAUGAGAAUGAAUUUUUCGAUGCACCUGAAAUCAUCACCAUGCCUGAAAAUUUGGGCCACAAACAUAGUGGCAACAAUAUCAGUGGUGCCAGCAGUGACAUCAGCCUUUGUGAACAGUACAAGCAUCAGCUGGAGGAGACCAAGAAGGAAAAGAGAACCAGAAUACCAUAUAAGCCAAACUAUAGCCUCAAUUUAUGGAGCAUUAUGAAGAACUGCAUUGGAAAAGAACUCCCUCAGAUCCCCAUGCCGGUGAACUUUAAUGAGCCCUUGUCCAUGCUUCAGCGCCUUACUGAAGAUCUGGAAUAUCAUGAGCUGUUAGAUCGAGCUGGAAAAUGUGAGAACUCUCUAGAACAGCUCUGUUAUGUUGCAGCUUUCACCGUGUCCUCCUAUUCUACUACUGUCUUCCGUACGAGUAAGCCAUUCAACCCACUCCUUGGGGAGACCUUUGAACUGGACCAAUUAGAGGAGAAUGGGUACCGAUCCCUCUGUGAGCAGGUGAGUCAUCAUCCCCCUGCUGCUGCACACCAUGCUGAGUUCAAAAAUGGCUGGACAUUGCAUCAGGAAAUCACAAUCACCAGCAAGUUUCAAGGCAAAUACCUCUCCAUUAUGCCCCUUGGUACCAUCCAUUGUAUUUUCCAUGCAACUGGGCACCACUAUACUUGGAAAAAAGUUAUACCAACAGUACACAACAUUAUUGUGGGCAAAUUGUGGAUAGAUCAGUCUGGUGAAAUCGAUGUUGUGAAUCACAAGAUGGGAGACAAGUGUAAUCUUAAAUUUGUUCCUUAUAGCUACUUCUCUAGGGAUGUAGCAAGAAAGGUGACAGGGGAAGUGACAGAUCCAUCAGGAAAAGUUCACUUUACCUUUCUGGGGACGUAGGAUGAAAAAAUGGAAUGUUUCAAAGUACAACCAGUCAUUGGGGAAAAUGAGAGUAAUGCUCGCCAGAGAGGCCAUGAAACAGAGGAAAGUAGGGUCAUGCUAUGGAAAAGGAAUCCUUUACCAAAGAAUGCAGAAAACAUGUACUACUUGUCAGAGCUUGCUCUAACUCUCAAUGCCUGGGAAAGUGGAACUGCCCCCACAGACAGCCGGUUACGGCCUGACCAGAGGCGGAUGGAAAAUGGGCGCUGGGAUGAAGCAAAUGCUGAGAAGCAGCACCUGGAGGAAAAACAAAGACUUUCCAGAAAGAAGAGAGAAGCAGAAGCUUUGAAAGCCACAGAGGAUGGCACUCCAUAUGGUCCCUAUAAAGCCCUGUGGUUUGAACGGAAGAAAGACCCUGUUACCAAGGAGUUAACCCAUAUUUACAGGGGAGAAUAUUGGGAGUGUAAAGAAAAACAGGACUGGAGCUCAUGCCGGACAUUUUCUGAAAUGGCAGCAACAACAAGGAGGAGGAUCUAAUGGAGAAGAGGACAGAAGAUGUGUGGGAAAGCUGGCAGUUGUGACUCUCUUACCAAGUGCUUUCCUCAAGUUUGUCUGUCUUGACCAAUCAUUUUUUCCAAAUCAAUCACCAGAAGCAGACAGCAGUGGUGGUGAUUGACUGGUUGCCUUAUCUGAUUGAAACUGAAAUUGACAUACUAGAUACCUAUGUGUGUUAAGGGAGAGGUUUAGUGACUGAAGGUUCGUGUUAUUCCACAUCUGCAAAGUCAAGUUUUCUUGACUCUUCUUUCUCCUUCUGCCCCCAUUUGAGUUGAUGUCAUUCACCGGCCCCUUGUAUCCUGCUCAGCCAAGAUCUGUGUAAGAUUAUGAUUCAGGGGCAUUUUGGUGCUGUUCAGAGCAAGAGCUGAUUUUAGAAGUUCCUUAAAAAAGAAACACAUAAGACUUACUGACAGAGGCAUCAUGAAUGGUUGCGAUGAAGCUUAGGUAUAACAUCAAAUGUGUUCACAGGAAUUGGGUUUAAUAGAGUAUUCAUGCAGAGAUAACUAAGUUAUUGGGACACCUGCGAGAGAGAUUGUUUUGUAGGGCUGGAAUAUUCAGAAUUACAGACUUGGAAGUUUCUAUUUUUACUUGUGACAAACACCCCUCUGCUGUCUACCAUCUUUGACAGAAACUGGAGACCACUUUGGUGGUUGGUAAGAGGGUUGCAUUCUCCUCACAGGGGUUUUACGGACUUCCUCAGGUGGAGAGUUUCUGAGAACACAGGCAGGAUGGAAAAAGACUGCUAGCCACUUUUGCUUUCCCAACUCCCCUCACCCCCAUUCUUCAUUGUCUUUCUGGCUUCUCUUUCCUGGCACAAUAUCAGUUUGGGUGUGUGCCCCAACCUGGAGCAAAACAUUGCCUGUCCCAUUCCGAUGUACUUCAGAAUUUGAGAGAAGAAGUUAAUCUGAAACAAAAGUUUUCACCAUCUCUCAAGCCCCAUGAACUGGAGUCACCUCUGGAAUAAUGUGUUAAAUAUCUGUAUAUUAUAUAUAUGUAGAGAAAAA